rnacentral:rRNA from 1 species
ACGGGUGAGUAACACGUGGGUAAACCUGCCCAAGAGAUCGGGGAUAACACCGUGGGAAACAGAUGCUAAUACCCGGAUAACAACAGAUGAUGCCUAUCAACUGUUUAAAGAUGGUUCUGCUAUCACUCUUGGGAUGGACCUGCGGUGCAUUAGCUAGUUGGUAGGGGUAACGGGCCUACCCAAGGCGAUGAUGCAUAGCCCGAGUUGAGAGACUGAUCGGGCCACAUUGGGGACUGAGACACGGGCCCAAAAACUCCUACGGGGAGGCAGCAGUAGGGAAUCUUCCACAAUGGACGCAAGUCUGAUGGAGCAACGCCGCGUGAGUGAAGAAGGGUUUCGGCUCGUAAAGCUCUGUUGUUGGUGAAGAAGGACAGGGGUAGUAACUGACCUUUGUUUGACGGUAAUCAAUUAGAAAGUCACGGCUAACUACGUGCCAGCAGCCGCGGUAAU